rnacentral:lncRNA from 1 species
AUGAGGAGGAUGAGGAUGACGGUGGGGGUCGCGCUGGGGCCGCUGCCGGGUCGGUGUCCCCGGCGGGCGGAGGGCCGGGGGAUGAUUGACGGGCGCGGGGCGUUGCGGGGCGUUGCGGGGCGGGCCCGGGGCGGAGCGCCAAGCCGGCGGAGGAGGCGGGAGCGGCGGAGGAGGCGGAGCGCCAGCGGGAGAGGAGCGGAGCGCAGCGCAGCGCAGCGCGGCGCCGAGCAGGGGGAGCCCAGCGCUCGCUGCCCCGGGCGGCGCCGGCUUGGGAGAAGGAGCGAGCGGAGAGGAGAGCGGCGCCCGCGCCCCGGCAGAGCCGAGCGGAGGAUCCGCGCCGUCCGCCCCUCCGCCCCUCCGCCCCUCCGUCCGCCCCUCCGCCCCUCCGUCCGUCCGUCCGCCCCUCCGCCCGUCCUGCGGGCGGGUCGGUGCGGGGCGGGGCGGGGAGCGGCAGGGCCGGGGCCGGGGCCGGGGGCGGGAUGGAGGCCCGGCACGUGGACGCCCCGUCCUACGGCCCCCGCAGCCCCGCCUGGGAACAGCUGGUGCGUAACAAUGACACCCACCCCCCGACCCCUGCCCUCCUCACCCCCACCCUCCGCCCCGUCCCCCUUCCUCCUCUUCCCGUCCGUCCCCCCCAUCGUCCUCUUUUCCUCCCCAUUCUUUCCCGUCCCUCUUCCUUUUCCUCCUCCUCUUCUUCCCUUCCUCCCCUCUGUCCUCUUUUCCUCCCCCUUCUUUCUUGUUCUUCCUCCUCCUCUUCCCUUCCUCUCCAUCCUCCUCUUCCCUUCCUCCCUGUCCUCCUUCCCUCUGUCCUCUUUUCCUCCCCAUUCUUUCUUGUUCCUCUUCCUUUUCCUCCUCUUCCCUUCCUCCCCCUCCUCCUCCCCCGUCCUCUUUUCCUUCCCAUUCUUUCUUGUUCCUCUUCCUUUUCCUCCUCCCCCUCUUCUUCCCUUCCUCUCCCCUCCUUCCGUCUGUCCUCUUUUCCUCCCCAUUCUUUCUUGUUCCUCUUUCUUUUCCUCCUCCUCCUCUUCCCUUCCUUCCCCUGCUCCUCCCCUCUGCCCUCUUUUCCUCCCCUCUUUCCCGUCCCUCUUCCAAUCCUCCUCCUCCUCCCACCGCUUUCCUCUCUCCCUCUCUCUCCCUCUCCCCGUCCACCCCCGCUGUGGCCCGGACCACGGAAAGACCGGACCCCCCGGCCCUCCUCUGCCCCCCACCCGGGCCAGUUCUUCCUUCUCCUCCUCCUCCUUCCCGGCCCCUGCCGCCUUGCCAAAAUGCCCCCUUCCUCCCUUGGUGUGUCCCCUCCACCCCUCGCCUUCCCGGCGCUUUUGUCCCCGUCCCGGGCCCUCUGACCGUUGCUCAGCCGGCUGGUGA